rnacentral:piRNA from 1 species
CCUAAUGAUGUACCUUAAGGCCA